CCAGCUCAGCCUCUAGGUGCAAAGUCUGACAGUUCCCGACAUCCCCUCCGGACUCAUCCUCUGCCCCUUCCCACCGUGGCAGCCAUGGUACGAUGCACACAGCACUUGCCCGUUCAGCCACCCUGUGGGGACAGGACCGCCAGCCCCAUCGAAGACAGAAGGAAGCAGGCUCGAAGAAGGACAGGACAGAGCUGCACAGGUGGUGCAUACAUAAAAAUGCAUUCAUUCAACAGUCGUUUACCGAGCAUGCAGGCACUUUGCUAGGUGCUACCAGAUGAGUCACUCACAGGACACCUCUCUGCUGAUGCUAGGGACACAGCGAACCAGAGACUCCAC